rnacentral:lncRNA from 11 species
UUCUUCCUCUCCCUCUAAUUAGGACUUUAUUUUUCUUUUCUUUUUGUUGUAUGAACGUAGAGGCAUGGAUGAGGGGUUGUGCUGCCAAGUUUAGUGUUUCUGGGAUGUGUAGUUUGUUGUUUUGUCCUAGGCCAAAAUUUCAUUGCCCUUUUAUAUAUAUAGAUUCAUUAUUAUCUAUAUAUAUAAAUGAGUGAUGGCAUCACGGCGACCCACAAAACAACAAAACUACAGGCCCCCCAACCUCGAAAUUUGACAACACAACCCAUCAUCCACGCCUCUAGGUUGAUACAACAAAAAGAAAAGAAAAAUAAAGUCCUAAUUAGAGGGAAAGGAAUAAUUGUUUUUAUCCAAUUACUGCCAGUUUAGAGGGCUAAUGUCUGCCCACUUGGGCUCCUAGCAACCAACUCAGCCCAGGGACAGGCAGACUUAGGCCUCACUUAGGUCUCUUCCACAGAUUAUCUAAUUUGCACUGGAUUAUAUGGCAGUGUAGACUCAAGGCCCUUCCACACAGCUAUAUAACCCAUUUAUAAUGGACUUAAUGUCAGGGGAAAACCUUUACCCUUUACCUUAACUACCACCAAUUCCUCAAUACUUUAUUUCCCAUACCACCAGACUUCGCCACAGCAACGCGUGGCCGGGCACAGCUAGUAUAUAUAUAUAUAUUAUAUUAUUAUUAUAUAUUUUAUUCAUUAUUAUAUUAUAUAUUACAUACCUUCUGGAUGACCUUGAGCCAUUUCUAGGAACCCGGCCUCAAUGAAUACCAGGUGCUGUGGGCUGCAUUUCAGGGGAAGGGACCGGCAGAAACGCCUCUGCAGACUCCCGGACUAAGACAACCCUAUGGCAUUCAUGGGGUCACCAUGGGUGAACCCAAGAUACAGACUACACACAGCGUUCUCCGGGCGCUGCUGAAUCGCAAGUGCCAGCCUGCAUAAUAACAGCCGCCCAGUGCCGUGGAAGAAAACAGCGUGACUGCCGCCGGGUGCCUUCGUCCCAGCACAGGCUUCCAAGGCCAUUCAGUCCACCCCCAUUUCUGCCACACUGAAAUACACAAUCCAAGCCCUCCUAACAGAUGGCCAACCCGCCUCUGCUCCAGAGAAGGAAGGAGACUCCACCACGUUCGGAAAUACUGGGAAGACAGUGGAGGACAAACCAGAAAUGGCCAAAGGCUGCAGCCAGCUCAAUGCAGCAUAAAUCAAGGCUCCAGGUGGGGACAGAAUGACCGCACGCAUCAGCACGCAACACAAAUGACGGGGACAUCGGGACACUCUGAAGGCGAAGGCUAUAGCGAUACAUCAGCAAUUCCCCUCUUCCCAGAAGUCACCUCUACCGCGAAACCUGUCCAACCGAAAGGACAAACAAGACCGGCCUCUGGAUCCAACCCUACUUAAAAACAUUACCUGUGUUUGUUCUGGGCUCAUCAAACGAAGGCUCUCCAAAGUAUCCCAGCAUGAGCCUCGCCAUCCCAUCCGGGUCAGUGAUCGCACCUCGAGGAGAGCAAACAGAGGCAGACGCCGGAAGGGAACAUGUGCUUGGGGAUCGUACACAAUCCCAGGACAGCACACGCUCUGUGCCCACGGCAAGCACACGUGACCCCUGGGCCUGGCAGGGUCAGGCAUUUCUCGUGAUUUGAGCAGAGAGAGUGGUUUCGAGGGCAAAGAGGCAGAUGCUGGACUACGAUCGUGGCCCAAGAGAGGAAGCCCAGUCACAACACAAUGCUAAGCAAACCCAGGAUGGAAGUUCUCUCAGCGGGAAGGGCCCACGGGAACUUAUAUCUGUAAGCCGCCCCGAGUCCCUCUGGGGAGAUGGUGGCGGGGUACAAAAAUAAAAUUUAUUAUUAUUAUUAUUAUUAUUAUUAUUAUUAUUAUUAUUAUUAAC